rnacentral:rRNA from 1 species
CUCUCGCAUAUCAGCCUAUAUACCGCCGUCGCCAGCUUACCCUUUGAAGGACUAACAGUAAGCACAAUUGGUACAACCCAAUACGUCAGGUCGAGGUGUAGCCUAUGAGAAGGGAAGAGAUGGGCUACAUUCACUAACAUAGUGAAUACGAAUAGUAUAUUGAAACAUAUACUUGAAGGAGGAUUUAGCAGUAAGCAGAAAAUAGAGUGUUCUGCUGAAGCCGGCUCUUAAGCGCGUACAUACCGCCCGUCACCCUCGCCAAGCCCUACCAAUUAUUUUUUCUAAAUCACUUAUAAAGCUAAGGAGAGGAAAGUCGUAACAUGGUAAGCGUACCGGAAGGUGUGCUUGGAUAAUC